rnacentral:rRNA from 1 species
UACAGAGGGUGCAAGCGUUAAUCGGAAUUACUGGGCGUAAAGCGUGCAUAGACGGUCAUGUAAGUCGGGUGUGAAAGCCCCGGGCUCAACCUGGGAAUUGCAUUCGAGACUGCAUGGCUAGGAUGCGGAAGAGGGAAGCGGAAUUUCCGGUGUAGCGGUGAAAUGCGUAGAUAUCGGAAGGAACACCAGUGGCGAAAGCGGCUUCCUGGUCCAGCAUCGACGUUCAGGCACGAAAGCGUGGGGAGCAAACAGG